rnacentral:rRNA from 1 species
UACGUAGGCAGCGAGCGUUGUUCGGAAUUACUGGGCGUAAAGGGUGCGUAGGCGGUUUGGUAAGUCUCGUGUGAAAUCUCCGGGCUCAACUCGGAGCCUGCACGAGAAACUGCCGGGCUUGAGUGUGGGAGAGGUGAGUGGAAUUCCUGGUGUAGCGGUGAAAUGCGUAGAUAUCAGGAGGAACACCUGUGGCGAAAGCGGCUCACUGGACCAUAACUGACGCUGAUGCACGAAAGCUAGGGGAGCAAACAGG